UUCCGCGAAAUCUAUUUCAGUAGAGCGUAUGAUGUCGAUGGCCCGAGGUAGAGCACUCAAUGGGCUAGGGUGGCCCCAUUUCGCCUUACCAACCCCAGGGAAACUCCGAAUACAGGCCUAGAUCGUUUGUACAGACAGACUUUUAGGGUGCUAAGAUCCAAAGUCGAGGCCAGUCUUUGACUUUCUUUGAAGGCUGGUUUUCGAGCGGAA
rnacentral:ncRNA from 1 species